UAGAACCCAGGUCCUCCUGACACCCGGACCCAGGCUCUAUCUAGCAGGCCACACUGCUUCUCACUUUUUCCCACUUGGCUCAAGAGUGUGGGGUCCCAGGGAAAUCAAUUUGAUAUUAGGAGUUUUACCUUCAUUCUGUGGCACUUUUGGACUUCCCCAGUCAGUUUUGGAAUAUCGCAAGUUACUUAAUCGGAGGGCCACCGAUACUUUGCAAUCUACAGUAAGUCAGACCAUCUACAUACAGAGCAGUUGACUGUGAACUUCUUGAGGGGAGCGAUCAUGUCUGCUUAAUUCUACCGAACUUUCCAAAAUGCUUAGUUACAAUGCUCUGCACAGGAGGUGCUCAAUAAUUACUGUUUGUCGACUGGUUGACUGAUCCCGAUCCUGAACGAUGAUCCUGAUGUACACAUACAGGAAAGCUGAUGACUGCUGAAGAAGCUUAAUGAUGCGCCAUACAUACAUGAUCUGGAAUUUUCCCUUUUUUAACAUCACCAUCCAGUUAAAGGACACCUACCACAGGCUGCCAAGACUCUUUCAAGAAGACCUGGAUCAUUUUAAAAAUAUAAAGAUGGAAUGAGUGUCCAAACCAAUUUUUUCGGCCGAAUUAAGCUGUCAUACUAUGUCAAACUUUGUUCACAAGCUGUCCCAGGUAUAAUGUACAGUUUCGCAACAGGGCGGUGCACUCUGCUCUAUGAAAUGUUAUUCCAGUGAAAUCCUUGAACAUGAUAUCACAAUCUCAAACUUA